rnacentral:hammerhead_ribozyme from 1 species
AUUCGGCCGAUGAGUCCCACACAGGACGAAAUGCAUGUCCCGGAU